rnacentral:rRNA from 1 species
CAGUCGCCGCGGUAAUACGGAGGGAGCUAGCGUUGUUCGGAAUUACUGGGCGUAAAGCGCACGUAGGCGGCUAUUCAAGUCAGGGGUGAAAGCCCGGGGCUCAACCCCGGAGCUGCCUUUGAAACUAGAUAGCUUGAAUCUUGGAGAGGCGAGUGGAAUUCCGAGUGUAGAGAUGAAAUUCGUAGAUAUUCGGAAGAACACCAGUGGCGAAGGCGACUCGCUGGGCAAGUAUUGACGCUGAGGUGCGAAAGCGUGGGGAGCAAACAGGAUUAGAUACCCGUGUAGUCCCUGUCUCUUAUAC